UACGUAGGGGGCAAGCGUUGUCCGGAUUUAUUGGGCGUAAAGAGCGUGUAGGCGGUUUGGUAGGUCCGCUGUGAAAACUCGAGGCUCAACCUCGAGACGCCGGUGGAAACCAUCAGGCUAGAGUCCGGAAGAGGAGAGUGGAAUUCCUGGUGUAGCGGUGAAAUGCGCAGAUAUCAGGAGGAACACCAGCGGCGAAGGCGGUGCUCUGGGCCGGAACUGACGCUGAGGAGCGAAAGCGUGGGGAGCGAACAGG
rnacentral:rRNA from 1 species